UGCUCUGGUGGGUAGAGCUCAGUAAAACUUUAAUCCACUUGUCUGCUGAUGGGUGGGGUUGAAUUCCCUCCUUGUUGGUUUUUUGGCCUGAGGUGACCUAGCACUGGAGGCUACAGGCUCUUUGGUGGGGCUAAUGUCAGACUCCGGGAGGGCUCAUGCCAAGGAGUACUUCCCAGAACUUCUGCUGCCAGCAUCCUUGUCCCCGUGGUGAAACAGAACCACCCCCUGCCUCUGCCAGAUACCCACCAACACUACCAGCCUAGUGCGAGAUCUGCAACUCUCUGCUUCAUGCAGCUGCUCCAGAGACCCAAGCUCCUUCCAUCUUGUGGCUCCAUCCUCCUCUAAGUCCUUGGAGUCUUCCCCAUUCAGCAGGUGGAUAAGGAAGGAGAGUAAGGACCUCAGGAUGUAUGGCCCUCACCAAACUUCAUGGGAGGGUGUGAACCCAGAAAGAAGAACCUGAGAGAGCGUUAGCAGGCAGCCCUGCUGCAUCAUCUGUGAUUUUCCUCAAGGGACUGUCAUCAAACAUCUUGAACAAAUGAACUGCAAGUUUGUAGGAAACACAUGAACUCUGCAUUCCCAUCAGUUAUAUAUGGACUUCCCAUGCUUUUCCAAAAGAAGGCAAAUAAAGAAGUUAUAUAGGGACUUCCCUGGUGGCACAGUGAUUAAGACUCUACGCUCCCAAUGCAAGGGGCCAGGGUUUGAUCCCUGGUCACAGAACUAGAUCCCACAUGCAUACCGCAACUAAGAGUUUUCAUGCCACAACUAAGGAGCCUGAAAGUAAGGAGCUGACGAGCCACAACUAAGGAGCCCUGGAGCCGCAACUAAGGAGCCCACCUGCUGCAACUAAGACCUGGUGCAACCAAAUAAAUAAAUAAAUAUUAAAAAACAAAAAAAGAAGAAGUUAUAUAGUUGGAUCUCCAAGUUGGAUAACUUGACUCCGGAAAAAGUGUGAAUAUUUUGAGGACACAGUGAAAACAGCAGAUUUUGAGGAUAAAGUCACAAUAAAGGAAAGAGGAGGAGGAGACUGUUAGAACCUUCCAGAUGUCUUGAAGAAAGUAGUUUUACAAGUCUAAAAAUAACUGAGAUAUUUGGAUAGGACGACAAUCUGACAACUAUGUCUGUGAAUGUUUCCCUAUACACAUUUAUGUUUAUUCAGUCAAGCUCUCCAUGUAUCGUGGGAUGUGCCGUUUCUCAGCUAUGAUAAUCACUUGGCAUCAGAAUCUGCCGGAGGGUUUGCGUGAGUUGCCUUCUGGGUCAUGUAGUGGCAAGUUGAGGGCAGCCAUGAUGGGCUGUGGGUGGUUAGGAAAAGGCAGUGGUUCUAUGGGAGGCUGGUAGAGUUAUUUACAAAGCUUUAGGUAUUUUAGGCAAACCAUUCUAAAACUGACUUUUUCAAAGAUGCGUCAACAGAGGUUUCAAAACUGGCCAGAAAUGAUGGUUCCUGGCUCUAAUGCAAGUUAGCUACAUCUCCUGGAAUUACAAUCUAAAGUGUUCCUUCAUUCAUUGAUUCAAGAAAAGUAUAGAGAGAAGCUAAUGUUUGCCAGAAACUGUCAUGCCCUGGGGAUGCUCCAGUGAUCAACACAGAAUGUGCACCCUGCUUUCCCUGAGCUUGCGUCUGGUAGGGAUGGUAUAUGAGCAACUGGCUCUUAUAGUGCAGUAUGAUAAGACCUUUGUGGAGUCUUAGAGGAUGUCCAAGGUGGCACUGACCUAGUCUUUGGAGGAAAGGGUGUAUUGGUCUGCAAAUAGCAGACUCCAUCCCCUCACCUUGACCUCUCCCCAGGGAGGGGGAAAGAACAGUGGCUUUAACAACUAAGAAGUUUAUAUUUCCAGAAGCAGGCAGUCCAGGUUUAUAUGGCAGCUCAAAGAUGCCAUCAGAGCCUUUGCUCAGUCAUUCUUGGCGUAUGGAUUGUGUCCUCAUGGCUGCAAAAUGGCUUUUAGAGUUCUAGGCGCAAUUCUGCAUUCCAGGUAGUAAGAAGAGGAAGAUCAGAUGGCAAAAUGCCAGAUGAAUCUGUUGGAGGUUUUCCAGAGUCUCAAUCCAGCACCUUCUUAUCUUUUUGGCCACAGCUGUGUCCCAUGGCUACGCUAGAUGCAAGGGUGGUGAGAAAUGUAGCUUUUGCCUCAAAACUUCGCCAAGUCAGGCUGAAGUGGACUUGCGUUCAUCAGGAAGAAGGCAAAGUGGCUACAGGGAAGGCGAUUCCAACCACUUGUCCCAGGGGCCAGGUUACGUAGAGGAAGCAGGCGCUGUAUUCCUGGCCACUGUGUUGUAGCCUCCAUGGGUUUUGCUUUUGUUUUUGCAGCUCUCACUGCUCUAGCAGUUGCAGGUGAUCACAAGGCAGGAGCAGGUACGGGGACCUGCUGAAGCCUGAAAUCGUUUCCUCCGAUUCCCCCCAUUUCGGGCAGACCCACCUGCAAGCAGGCUGGGUGUGCUCCAUGUUGGUUGCAACAGGGAACCAGACAGAUUCCCCUUCCCCGAGGCUCCGCAUUCAGUGAAGACGUCAAAAACACAACCAUUCCCAUUUUAAGCAUUUCACUGUUUUUACACAUUAUAUUAAUUCCUCCCAGCAAACUUGAAGGGAAAGCAAGUAUGUGGUCUCAUUAUAAGGAUAAGGAAACAGAAGGCCAGAGAGGGUGGAGACUUGCCCAGGGCCACACUGCAGGUUAGGGGCAAACACUGGACCAAGAUGCUGGGCUUGCGCUUCUCUCCUGUCCAGAGCCAGCUCCCGCCCUGGUGUGGAUGCCUAUGAGCUGCCCACAUUCAGCAGGGUUGAGCUGAAAGCCUGGCUCAGGUAAGCAGGAGGAUUGGAGAAGGAGGACGGACGAGCUGGGGGCCGCAGGCAUCAGAGCCGUCAGCCAUGGUAUCUGCCAGCUUUGCUGAUCGGUCCCCACUGCGCUGGUCCCCUCCAGUUCCUGCAGGGGAGACGGUGGCGGCUUUCCUUGUGGUCAUAAGCUUCGGGAAGGUGCUCCCAUCCUUGGCCUUCUAGGAUGGCGCCUCCCUGGACAAGUUCCCCCUCUUUUCCCAGUCAAACGCCGCUGGUUCUUUUCCCUUCGCAGAAGACCUGGGAAAGUUGGUCUUAUUCUCUUCAGUCCCUUCUUGCUCUCAGUUCCUGUGGAGUCUCCUUGGCUGUAAGCAGGCUUCAGGGCUGAGCCGCUCUGAGCCAGCCUUGGGAUGGAACGGCCCUGGCCUUCUCCCAGCACUCUCACUUUCUCUCCCUUCCCUCCCAGCCGUGGCUCUGGCUGUCUCCCCAACCCUGUCCAGUCCUGGCAGCCACGAUCUCGAUGUUAGUUGCUAAGAGGAACUUUCACACUUUCCCCAUGGACCAUGCCUGGGCCCUAAGCUCAGGACCAAGCUGGGUCUCCACGGAGUCUCACGAAGACAGCUGUGUGGACGGGAUGCGCGGAGCUGUCCCUCUCAUCACCUUCCCACAGUCUGCAAUGCUCUCCCAGCUCCUGCGAGGCCUAUGCAUGACUCAGGAUUCAGUUCAAGUUUAUCUCCUUUGGCAGGUCUUCCCUGCCCCCUGCCCCCUCCACCGUCACAGGCUCACCAGUGUUGGAGGAUUCCCUCCCCAGGGCCCACGGGUCUCAAAGCAUUGACCCCCGCUGCAGUGUACUAUCUGUGUAUAUGUCUUCUUCCUCCCUCCCUCUGAGUGUUAGAUCCUUGCAUUCUCUAGAUCUAAACAGUGCCUGGCACUUAGUAGGCCCUCAACGCAUACCGGAUCAAUCAAGGAUGCAUUAUGGUGCAGGAUAUUAUGAAAGCAUGUGGGAAAAGCUUCUGUCACCUUCUUGAGGUACCUUAAGCUGAAGCAGUUGCAGAGAGGGAAAGAAAUAAUCAUAGUGUGUGUUUGUUGAGCACUUAGUAUAUGCCAGGCAUGAUCACAGGCUCUUUGCAGGUCCCUGAAUCUUUACAACAACCUCCAUUUUGCUCAUUAGAAAACAGGCACAGAGACGUUAAGUAACUUACUCAAGGUCCCACAGCCAGGAAGUGGUGGAGGAAUUUCAACAGUGGAGCUCAGGCUGUUAACCCUUUACCACAUGUGCUGCAUCUUUAGUGCCAGCUCCCCACCCUCCCAGCCAAGCAAGAGCCCUCAUGUGUAUUAAUUAGACUAAACGACAAGACACAGCCUUCCCAGCCCUUGCCACUCAUCCCUGUGCCAAUGUGAGAGUGAGAGGCAGAAGGGAGGGCUGAGGGCCAGCUGCGGGGGAAGCUGGGGAGACCUCUGCAGAACAGGUGCGUCCUCGGCAGCCUGGGACACAGCACUCAUGGCGGAGGAGCUGGGGCCCUUCCUCCACAAGAUGGGGCAGGGAGAAGUGGCUGCGUGGAGACCCACAUCAAGGCGGGAAAGGUGCCAGGGUGUCCCCAUCACCCGAGGAGAAAGGUGACUCCUGUUUAUCAGUCAAGGGUGAGCUGGGAACAGCUCUCAAUAACACAGCACUCUGGCUUUGGGAGCAGAGCUGGUUGCUUUCUCCUGGCAGAGCUAGGAAAUAGAACCACCCAGGCAGGGCUCGCUGUUACCCACGAAUGUCUCCUUCCGUUCAGGUGUUGCCACAGUCUCUGAAAUGCCACCACUGGCGAGAGAUUUGGAAACCUUAUCCCUUUCUGUUCUUGCAAGAUAAAAAGAGUUCAUGUCAUUUUAGAACUUGUCAUGAAAAGCUUUCAGAUUCCCUAUCUCAGUUGAAUCUCCCAGGUUGGCUAUAAAGCCCGAGGGCUCGCAGUAGCUAUUGAGGCACUCAAGUGAUGCGCCUGUUUGACUCGUACACAGACUGCCUGAAUCCCACUUCUGACCGGCUACAGAACCUGGGCAGCUCACCUGCCCUCCCACUGCCUCAGCUCUCUUUGCCCAUAAAUGGGGUGAUGAUAGUACCUACUCAUAGAACUGUCAGGACUAAAUAAGUGACCGAUGUGACAUGUGGCAUCAUGCAGCAUCAUCUGGCACGUGGCAAGGGGUAAUGUAAGCAUCAGCUGUUAUCAUUAUUCUGUUUUAUAGGUGAGGAAAAGUGAGGCUCAGAGAGGUGAAGUGACUUUCCCCAGGUCACACAGCCAGUUGGUGGCAGAAUGAAGAUCCAACCUCUGUAACUUGAUCUUCCAACUUCUCCUGGGAUGUUUGGUAACCGGCCCAGGAGAUGGGCUAGAGGAGAGCAGAGCCAUGGUGCUCUCAGACUUGAUUGUUUGGGCUUCCUCUGCAUUUGUCACUACCAUGUGAAGAUGUGGUAAGACCCACCCUUUAUGGGACAAGAGAAGCUGUCCUCAUGGAGGUGCCCCUUCGAUGUAUGAUGGCAUUUCCUGUGGUAUUUGGGCCCUUUGGGGAAGCAUAAAUUAGCUAAUGUCUAAGAAGCAGGGGGCCCCAGCCAGGGCACUGGGCAGGCACUGUAGUCCUGACGGUAUGUGGCAUAGGGGCAGUGUUCUGUCUAAACAAAAUUGUCCCUGAGCUCCGUGGCCCUGGGGACAAGACCCACCAUUCCCUGGGCUGUACUCCUCGAGAAGGAGGUUGGGAGGUCUAGCUGGCAGGCAGCUCUCACGGGCUAACCCAGAAAGGUGGCUUGGUCUCGAGGACAUUGGCACCGUAGCAGGCAAGUGGCAAAAAAAUGUCAGUGAGAUAUACGUGUUUGAAAGACAGCACUAGGCCGUGAGCUUUCCCGGACGGCGUGGCUGAGACUGGAGAGCUCCCAGAGGGCCACCUGGCCUUUUUCUGGCUCUUGCCCAUUCUCCACACGUCGGGCCGUGGGCACGUGCUCUGCAGGGCCAGCUGUGAGGCUGGGGUCUGCUGUCUGGUCCUCCCUCCCUUGUGCGUACGGGGGACCCGGGGGGGCCCUAAGCCGGAGCUGCUGCCCCAGACUGCAGCAAAGCCGCGCCGUGACUACUGCCCUCAGGCCCGAGCUGGCUUAGGCUUCACCAGAAAGGAAAACGCCCCCUCCUUGUGCAAUGGGUGCAGCCUCUUCUGGAAUCUUCCACAAGCCAAGCCUGACUGAGUGUGGGUGACCGGGGACCCGGGCACUUGUCUAUUCAUUUUGUAUCCUUUUAAUAUUGUUGUUACAGAAGUAAACACCCCCAAAGUAGAAAAGUUAGAAAAUAUGGAUGACAAGAGGCAUGAAAACCAUCCAUAACGCUGCCUUCCGGAAGUAAGUCUGGUUUACUUUUCCUUCCAGUCUUUUUUCUGUGUCCACAUGCGUGUGCACGACGUGCUCCUUAUUCAAAUGAGAACAUAGGAUGAACUGUGCCUGGGGAAUCCGAUUCUUCUUCAUUUCACACAGUAGGGGUGAGCACGUAUCUCUGUCCGAACACAUUUUUCUUUGCCAACAUGUUUCCUCACUAUUUGUUUUCCCUAAGCCCUCUUUCAAAGGUGUUCAGCACUUGGUUUGGGUCACAGGUCCCAACUGGAUCCCAGGAUCCGGCCCUUUUGAGCUAAGUGUGCCAGGGCAGGCCCUGUAGUUUUGAGUAAUGGAAAAGCCCCAGGCUGGCUGUUUGCAGCAAGUGUUCGUGCCCAGCCCUGCCCUGACUCAUGGGCCAUCUUAGACGAGUCACUUCACCCCUCUGGGUCUCAGUUUCUUUGCCUAUGAAACGGGAUGGCUGGUUUAAGGGCUCUGCCAGCUCUGAAGUGCUAUGACUAAGCAGCUGGAGACUCACAGGAUUCCAGAAGACUCUGGGAGCGAUGCUGCUGAGGGGGAGUUGCUUCUUCCUGGUGAGUAAGCCAGAGUCUGGGUCUAGGCGAGCCGAGCUGGGGGUCUCCGUCUGGAAGAUCUGAAAGCCCCUCUGGGGUAGUCAGUGCCCUGUGCUAUAGUUCCCAGGGCUGGGUCCUCCCCAUUGGCUCACUCCCCACCCAUGUGGACAGGGAGACGGCAGCUGCUCCGGUGCCAGCGCUGACCUCACAGCUCCACCACUUCUUGGUCAUGGUAUUAGUAGCCAGAACCAGCGGCCAGCAGCUGCUAGUUACAUCUUGAAAUACAAGCCACGUGACCCGGCAGGAAGCCAGUGCCAGCCAGUGCUGGGGCCACACUGCAGAGCUAGUGGGAUCCAGGAAGGACCUAGGGAAGACACCUUGGGUGGGCAGGCCUUCUCCACCUCCCUUUUCCUACCACUGCCCUCCCCCCUUCCCUCCCUCCUUUGCUCCUGGAGCAGCAGCUGGCUUUUGUCAUUUGGAUUUGAAGAGAUCCUGCCGCGAAACUUUGGAGGCCAAGGCAACUGCUGUGUGGAGGCUUCAAAGGGGCAGGAACAUUAUAAAAUAUAAGCUGCAGAAUCCUUCUCCCGGAGGCAUGGACCGUUUCCCUGGCACAUUCCCUUGCAGAAAUAAUAACAAUGACAACAAUCAUAGCAACGUUGCUACCAUGUAAUGAGCGUUUGCUAGGGCUAGGAGCCAAAUGUUCACUUGCUUCCUCUUAUAAUGGGUAGUCGUCGUUAGAUUGCUCCCCAGAGUGAGGUGCCGCUAUUAUUAUCCCCAUUUUACAGGUGAUGACAUGGAAGCUCAGAGGUUAAGCAAUUUGCCCAAGCCUCUCCAGCAAAUGCAGCUGGACUCAGGACUGUCUGACCCUGCUCUUCUGCCUCCUUGAAUUUCAUGCCUCCAUUGGUCAGAAUCCUUCCACCAUAGUUUCAGCUUUUUCUUUGUAGGCAGCGAUUUCCAGAGACUUCACAAUUCUAUUAGUUCUGGACAUCUAUGUGCCAGGUCCUGUACUCACCAAGGGUGUACCCCAGAUAUGUGAGGCUUGGUCCCCAACCUAGAAGUUUAAAUCAUCAUUGAUGAGACAAAGGGUAUAGAUCCUGCAGUCCUAGGAUGCAUUUGUCUUUUUCAUCGCAUCGUGGAAAGAACAUGUGUUUUAGGGCUGUGCCUACUGCAGUUUGAAUCCCACCUCUGCCACUUACUAGCUGGGUUGCUCUGGGCAAGUCUUUUACCCUUUCUGUACCUCAGCUUCCUCAUCUAUGAAACCGAUUUUAUAGGUUGACUCGUAAGCAUUAAAGAGACUAUAUGUAGAGUACUAUCAUAUAGUAUGUGCUUAAUAAAUAUUAGCUAUUGUUAUAAUGACUGAAAGAAUAGGGUCUUGAGUCAGAUAGCCUGGGCUUGAUCCUACCUUCUCCACGUACCAGUUAUAUGACCUUGAAUUGUGUACUUUUGCCACUAUAUUCCUCAGUUUCUUCCUCUACGAAAUGGGGGUGAUAAUAGGAUUGUUGUAAGGAGUAAAUGAAAGCGUACGUAUGUAUCAGAGCAACAGGAGGCAUCUUAGCAAAUAUUAAGUAAGUACCUUAGGAAAUACUGACACAUAUUAAUUGCUCAAUAUAUGCUGAUUUUUAUUAUUAAUUAUUUUUACUUUAUUACUAGCAUCAUUUUAUUUUUAGCAUUAUUAUUAGUCAUCCAUCUGAUUUACAGAUUUAAAAUCCCCUCACUGAUUCUCCUAGAUGACCGUAUUUCUAUCCAUGGCACGACACAUUAAGAUCGUCCAAAUUGACAACUUCAGAAUCACUGAAAAGUUUUCUUUCCCCGUCUGCUGUCAUCUUGUCAAUUCUUUCUGGAUUGUUUCUUCCAUCAAAGAUCUCCUUUCCAUUCCCACUGGCUUCAUACCUCGUCAGUCAUGUCUACCUGAUGUGAAUGCAGCUUUUCUUCUGGGAGCCAUUAUUGAUGCGGGGAGAAGAAGACAUGGUGGCAGCGGGCACGUGGCCCUUCCACAUCCACUCCCCUCUGCUUGAUUAUUUCCGAUCUACACAUGCAAAUAAUUAUGCCCUGAACUUAGUUCUAUCUGCUCCCCUGCUGGAAGAACAAUCAAUGGUUUCCCAUGUCUUUUACUUUAUAUACAGAUUCCUGAGGUUGAGAUUCAAUAUUUUCCACAGGCUGGCCCAAACCUGCCAGGAGUCACUAUUGUUGACUCUCUACCUGGCAUGUAGAUUAUGCAAUUACUUUAUACCCUUCAUAGUAGUUCACCUGUCAUUGAUUGGUUCAGGAUUGGGCGGCCCUAAGCCACUUCACAUCAGUGAGAUGUGAUGAGAGAUUUGCUCAGGGCUUCUGGGAGAGAGAAACUUCUUUUUCCUCUCUCCCUUUCAAUGUGAACAACCUGUUCCCUGGAUGCAGCUGGCAGCCAUCUUGUAGCCAUGAGAACAGCCAUGAAGAGGGCAGUGUCAACACAGAGCAGAGGAGAACCAAGAGAAGAACAGAGAAACAGCAUGGAGCCCUGGUCAAACUGCUUCUGGAGUUCCCCUGGCUCCGGACCGCCUGCCUCUUGGCAAGAGAAUAUGGGCGGCAAUGAUGUUUGCCACUUUCAAGCCUGGCCCCUAAAAUGACCCCUGCAGCUUCUGCUGUCUGGCUGAAUGCAGAGGCCCAAGUGGAAGACUCUGUGAGGGCUUUAAGGCAUGGCCAAGCCACCAGAGGCAAGAAACCUGGAUAUCUGAGUCACUGUUUGAAGGAGAACUGCCCGGGAA